CUCAAGAAGCCAGCUGGGUUCAAGUUUCAACCAAUACUUGAGAGUCUCUUUCUUAUGUUCACCUUGGGAGGCCAGUACCCAGAGCUUCAGCGAGGGGAUGAAGAGGAGAAGGAGGAAGAGGUUCUGAAUACUACCCUAGAAAUGCUGACCACUCUUCAUGGAAUGGCUGAGACAGGAACACCUAGUGCCUGGGAAUUCCAAGUAUGUGGCAACAUGCGUGUUUGGAGCCAGACUUCUGAGAAGAUGCCCUCAAUCACCCACAGCCUCUUUACGAGUUUUCCCCUCCAAUGUGACUUCAGUUAUUAAGAUGUCCCAAGUGAUUAGACUCACCAGCAGCCUCCUAAAUACUCAGCCAAGGAAACCUGAUAUGCUUGGGAGAGGCUAUUCGGGGGAGAAUACUUGGCAGUGGUAAAAGAAGCCUUAUGUCUGCAGAACUUUAUUCACUUCUCAGAAGUCCUUUGACUCUAUGAUAUGAGGAAGUCACUCUAAAUCUCUUUGUCUCUCUCUAACUGCAGAGGCAACAGUACCUCAUUACAGGAACUCUGUGUGAAAAAUAUUACAAAAUAUUAACAAAAUGCUUUGAAUUUCUUGUGUAUUUCACCACAUUAGAUCUAGCAAACUACCAUCCCUCACCUAGGGCAGAG
rnacentral:lncRNA from 1 species